CCCGCCCCCAGCAGGCGCCCGGAGCUCGGUCGGCUUUGGCUUAUGGUGAGACUGGGGUCAGGUGCCAGAAGCAAUUAACCUCAGGGCAAAUCCAGGGAAGUUAGGUGUCCUUCGUUCUGAUUCUCACUAAGUUAUUUGUCACGAGAGACAAUUCUGCACCGAUAUUUCUUCCCGCAGACCACGCCAGCAAUGCAGUAUCGUGGUGCCGACGAUGCCAGGUUCUGCUCAGAUCUGCCCUGUUGAAAGCUGGCACUUAUUUCUGCGGGGCUCGAUUUUUCACACUUGUUGUGGCUUUGAAAUUUGGUGCAGUCGUAAUUUGUAAUGAUGCUUAAUGCAGAAUGUGAUUUGGGUCACAGUGAAAGCUUCAGUCUGAGCAUGAGGGUUGUGCGUCUUCUCACCUAUCUUCACGUGGGACUGGAACUCAAAGGCACGAUAACGAAUGCUAACAGUGAGCAGUCACUAAAUUUCAAGAGAGCUGCCUCCCUAAACGGCAAAACAAAGAGUCCACAAGGAUGAAGAUCUAAAAAGAGCUGUAGUCGAGGUCUUGUGAGAGUGAAGGGAAGCAGUAAUCAGGCAUCUUAAGUAAUUGGAUCAUAGAGACUUCAACUAGACAGAAAAUCGAACGGUUAGUUCAGUGCAGGAAUGGGACAGGGAGAGAAAUACAAAGCUAGAGAGCUCAGAGAGGGCAGACCACAAUAUAUAAUGCUUUUUUUGUCUGGCUGGAGAGCCCAGUGAACAGAAAACAAUAGGACCAUGAAGUCCUAAUCUUCAGCUCUCCGCUGCCAACACAAGGCACCACAGCUGUGUUUCUAAAUUUAAAAAAAAAAAAUCUGUUUUCCAUCCUCCAUCAUAAGGAAAGACAAAAAAUAUAUUCCAACAUAAUGUACUACUUGGCUACCGUGCAAUGUUGGUACAUGACACAUUUUCCUUUCUGUGGUCAGUCUUUUAGUGAUAGUUCAGUGUGAUGAUAAAGCAAGUGAAGACUAUACUGAAAUUUUGAAGUCUUCCUACUCAAAAAGUAUAGAUGCAUGAAAAUUAAUAGUAGUUGAAUGUUAGAAAGAAGGUUAUAUAUCUACCCUUUGUUUCUAGGUUAAUUUUAGCUCCAUUGGUUCGGCUGUGCCUUUGCAUGAAUACUUGUGCCUGUACAGACGAUGGUAGAAACAAGCAGCUGAUGAUGGAGAAAAUGAAAAAAAGAAAGAAGAAAUAAAGAAAAGAAACAGUAUUCCUCAGACUCUUGAGAAUGUACCACCCUGACAACCCAAGCUGUGAGCAGAAAAUUGCAGAAAGAAUUCAAGAUGUGUUGUUACAAGUGGAUCUACACUGAAUUAUCUUUAUUUGAAUCCAUUAAUUCUGUGAUUUUCUCCAUCCUUAUCUCAAUAUGCCUCUUAUUGUAUGUAACUUACCUUUGUCAAAAAUUAGUGAUGAAUCAAGAGAGAAUAUAGACUAAAAAGUAAAACAGUGCAUUUAUAAAAUCAAUAAACAACGUAAAGAAU
ensembl:lncRNA